AAUGCUUGUAUGGAGUUGUUGCAUGAGCUUGAUUUUUCAUGAACAUGGGACUGCCGUCUUCGCGGACUUCCCACUCCCAAGUUAAGAGAUGACUUAAGUUGCCAUAUUUUAGGGCCUGACUGGUUGUGUUGCUAAUGCUAGGGUUGUGUUGCUAAUGCUAGGGUUGAUUGAAAACAAAGGUAUUAACUUAAUGAUAUUGAUUUGACAUUAAGUUCUGUAUGUUGUAUCAUUCUGAUUUCUGAAUUCCUUUGAUGGUCAGAGAAGGUGG
rnacentral:misc_RNA from 1 species